UUUGUGUAAAAUGAUGAACGAAUGAACGGAAGAGUACUUUGAAGACUAUAUUCAUCACCCAAGACUGAAAUACCUU